rnacentral:rRNA from 1 species
UACGGAGGAGGCAAGCGUUAUCCGGAAUCAUUGGGCGUAAAGCGCGCGUAGGCGGCCAGAUAAGUCCGGUGUGAAAGUCAAAGGCUCAACCUUUGAAUGCCGCUGGAAACUGCCUGGCUUGAGUCCGGAAGGGGCGAGUGGAAUUCCUGGUGUAGCGGUGAAAUGCGCAGAUAUCAGGAGGAACACCGGUGGCGAAGGCGGUUCUCUGGGCAUGUCCUGACGCUGAGGAGCGAAAGUGUGGGGAGCGAACAGG